rnacentral:rRNA from 1 species
CAGUCGCCGCGGUAAUACAGAGGGUGCGAGCGUUAAUCGGAUUUACUGGGCGUAAAGCGUGCGUAGGCGGCUUUUUAAGUCGGAUGUGAAAUCCCUGAGCUUAACUUAGGAAUUGCAUUCGAUACUGAGAAGCUAGAGUAUGGGAGAGGAUGGUAGAAUUCCAGGUGUAGCGGUGAAAUGCGUAGAGAUCUGGAGGAAUACCGAUGGCGAAGGCAGCCAUCUGGCCUAAUACUGACGCUGAGGUACGAAGGCAUGGGGAGCAAACAGGAUUAGAUACCCCCGUAGUCCCUGUCUCUUAUAC